GUAAAAGAUGCUAACAGGCUCAACUCAGUAGCAGGGGGUCAAAAUCUCGUCCUCCAUCCACUCAGGCACCCACACCACAGCUCGACGGCAAGUCUCGCAACGAUACUUUCGAUCUUGACUUUGAAGAACGACUUCAAACAGUUAGAAGGUCUGCCCUUGAACAAAAGAAAGCAGACGAC